CGAUGGUACGCGAGGAACCUUACCAGGGCUUGACAUACGUUGGAAGCGCAUCGAAAGGUGCGUGCCGCUUGCGGCCGGCGUACAGGUGCUGCAUGGCUGUCGUCAGCUCGUGCUGUGAAGUGUUGGGUUAAGUCCCGCAACGAGCGCAACCCCUGCUGCCUGUUGCCACCACGAGAGGUGGGGACUCAGGCGGGACCGCCGGUGACAAACCGGAGGAAGUGGGGACGACGUCAAGUCAUCAUGGCCCUUAUGUCCUGGGCUACACACGUGCUACAAUGGCCGGUACAGAGCGCAGCGAGGCCGCGAGGCGGAGCGAAUCGCUUAAAGCCGGUCCCAGUACGGAUUGGAGUCUGCAACCCGACUCCAUGAAGUUGGAAUCGCUAGUAAUCGCGCAUCAGCAUGGCGCGGUGAAUACGUUCCCGGGCCUU
rnacentral:rRNA from 1 species